rnacentral:rRNA from 1 species
AAUACCGCAUACGAUAUAAGGAUGAAAGUGGGGGAUUUGCCAGAACCUCAUGCUCCUGGAGCGGCCGAUAUCUGAUUAGCUAGUUGGUAGGGUAAAAGCCUACCAAGGCAUCGAUCAGUAGCUGGUCUGAGAGGACGACCAGCCACACUGGAACUGAGACACGGUCCAGACUCCUACGGGAGGCAGCAGUGGGGAAUUUUGGACAAUGGGCGCAAGCCUGAUCCAGCAAUGCCGCGUGAGUGAAGAAGGCCUUCGGGUUGUAAAGCUCUUUUGUCAGGGAAGAAACGGAUUUUUCUAAUACAGAGAUCUAAUGACGGUACCUGAAGAAUAAGCACCGGCUAACUACGUGCCAGCAGCCGCGGUAAUACGUAGGGUGCAAGCGUUAAUCGGAAUUACUGGGCGUAAAGCGUGCGCAGGCGGUUUUGUAAGACUGUCGUGAAAUCCCCGGGCUCAACCUGGGAAUGGCGAUGGUGACUGCAAGGCUAGAGUUUGGCAGAGGGGGGUAGAAUUCCACGUGUAGCAGUGAAAUGCGUAGAUAUGUGGAGGAACACCGAUGGCGAAGGCAGCCCCCUGGGUCAAAACUGACGCUCAUGCACGAAAGCGUGGGGAGCAAACAGGAUUAGAUACCCUGGUAGUCCACGCCCUAAACGAUGUCUACUAGUUGUCGGGUUUUAAUUAACUUGGUAACGCAGCUAACGCGUGAAGUAGACCGCCUGGGGAGUACGGUCGCAAGAUUAAAACUCAAAGGAAUUGACGGGGACCCGCACAAGCGGUGGAUGAUGUGGAUUAAUUCGAUGCAACGCGAA